GCGAGAGUGGCGGAACAGGCAGACGCUCGAGACUUAAAAUCUCGUGGACCUAUGGUCCGUGCGGGUUCGAGUCCCGCCUCUCGCACCA
rnacentral:tRNA from 1 species